ACAUCAUCAGGGGCGUACCUGAACCGUUCUGUAUUGUAUGCGCUGACUCUUAAUUGCCGUAUCAACACUAAUGUACCCAGGGCAGCCACUUUUUGGAGAUCGGGGGGGAAAUAGGAAGAAAACGGGGGGAAAAAUGGAUCAAACAGGGGGAAACACAGAUCAACAGGGGAAAAAACAUAGAGCAACCAGGGGAAACACGAAGAACCAUUUCCAUUUCUGCGUGAUAGCCAAUACUUUUCAAAGACAAAGCUCAGGACAGAGAUCAAACCUAGGACUCUCUUAUCAGGGUCAGGUGGUGGCAGUCGUUUGUCGGCCGAAUGGGUUUUGCAGGGUCAGUGACACUAUUCUGGACGCUUAUGGCUAAUGCUAGCGAAAGUGGUCAAUCUUAAGAAGAAUGGGCUGAAAAUGAAUGACAGUCAUCGCACAUAAAAUAAAAAAAAAAUGCGAGUAGCAACUGAGCCAGUGCUAAUGUCCCCUCUCCUGGUGGCCGCUUUAACGACCUUGUAUUGACCUUGGCGCAGACAUUGUUGUCCCAUAUACCUGCCGCCUCUCGGUGCAGAUCCUGGAAUCAAUUAAAACUGGACCAAAGAAGGGGAUCAAUUCCUGGUAUGGAAUUAACGCUUUGUCAGCAGGAAGUGGACCUCAGCUGGAUCGGGAAUAAUUGUCACGUUAAUCAAUGUCUGUUCGCUAAUGGGAUAUAUUCCUCCCAACCAUCAUCUCAUCAGUGUUCAAUACAGCUCUGGAUUUGAAACAGCAGUGCACGGUUUUGAAACAAUGGGCCCCGGAGAGCAAUAGACAAACCGAUGAUAAAACCAAUUUUAAAAUGUUUACCAUGUAUUAAUGUUUAUCAAAGGCUAUUAUUGCAAUGAUCACCAACAAAUUUUGCUUCCAAGAGCUGUACGUAGAACUGAUUUCCUCAUUUUUUUAUCCUAUGACAAUCGGCCGAUGAUAUUAUUAACAACAUUUUUAACUGAAUUGUUGUUAAUUUGUUAAGAUGAACUAUUUUGUAACAUGCGCAUAAUUUUACAUAAAACAUAUGAAGCUUACAGGUGUUCUGAAUAUUGUUAGAAAUACCACAGGUAAAAAAUGUGUCCAUUUUAUUUCCAGAGCAAUAAAGAAUAUGAAAGUUAACAACGAUGACGUUAACAACAAAGUUCUGAUGAAUGGGCCCAUUAAUUUAAGUGUUGGAUAAUCGGACAAAUUUCACAAUCGAUAACUAAAUCAAAAUGGAGAACCAUAAUGGAUUGAUCAUCAAAUCAGAAAUAUUAGAAAGUGUGUUUCCAUACUAAUUAUUAAAAGUAUGAAAAUACCAUUUGUAAUUAUUUCAAUAAAGUCCAUGUAUUAUAUAUUUUAAAACUGACCGAAUCUAAAGACUGAAGACUAUAAAGAUAGAAUGAAUAAUUUUUUGUAUGACAUAAGGUAGC